rnacentral:lncRNA from 1 species
AUGCUCCUUAUCGGUUCUGAUUACCCACAUCUCGUCACACCGAUAGCUCCAGUACUUAUGGGCCCAUUGGGUAGUCCUGUGGCAGUUAGUACAAGUUUGGGCUGGGCUAUCCAGGGUCCAACUACAUUCCUUGACCAGCCAUUGGAGACUACUUGUCUGAACAUCUCACUGAUCCGCUCUCCCACACAAGAUCUGUCUCAUCAUGUUGAAAAGUUAUGGCAAGUAGACAUACUUCCCUUCCAGCCUGUGAAAGACAUGACGCAUUCCAAGCAGGACAGAGAUGCUCUUCAAAUGCUGGAAACAAAGACAAAGAGAGUAGAAGUUGAUGGAGUCUCUCGCUACGCAACUCCUCUUCUUCGCAAAGGGAAUGCAAAGGUAUUGCAUGCAGGUCCUGAAUCAGUCAUGGUUCUUCUAAGAGCCACUGAUUGCCGUUUGAAUCAACAUGUAGAGCUUGCUGAAGUCUACAAGAAAGAAAUACACAAACUGGAGCAGGCAGGGUAUGCAACGAAACUCACACCUGAAGAGGCUAAAGCAACAAAUGAGUCAUGGUUCAUUCCCCACCACCUUGUGCAUCACAACAAUAAAGCCAGGGUUGUGUUCAACUGUUCGUAUCAGUUCCUUCAAGCUUCACUGAAUGAUCAGUUACUCCCAGGACCUACAUUGGGUCCCUCAUUACUGGGAGUUCUUCUCAGAUUCAGACAAUAUCCUGUGGCCAUCAGUGGGGACAUUCGCUCAAUGUUUCACCAAGUACGCCUCCUUCCAGAAGAUCAGCCUUUACUUCGCUUCUUGUGGAGAGAUCUGGAAAAGGAUAGACAACCUGACAUCUAUGAGUGGCGUGUUCUUCCAUUUGGGACCACAUGCAGUCCAUGCUGUGCCAUUUACACACUCCAGUGUCAUGUCACGGACCAUCGUGAAGGCAAUGAAGAGGUGGUAGACUCAGUAUUGAAAUCCUUUUAUGUGGAUAACUGUUUGCAGUCCCUUCCCACAACUGAUGAGGCCAAACAGCUCAUAAACAAGAUGAGAGCUUUGCUAUCUGCUGGAGGAUUUGAAAUUAGACAAUGGGCCAGUAACUACCCAGAGGUAAUUGCUCAUCUACCAACUGAGGCAAGGUCCGAAAGCUGUGAGCUAUGGCUGACUGUAAACAAGACAGACCCACAAGAGUCUACACUUGGGCUCUCUUGGCACUGCCCAUCCGACAAGCUUAGCUAUCGAAACCGCCCACUAUCCACAGAUGAGCCCACUAUGCGCAAUAUUUAUAGAGUGCUAGCGUCUCAAUUUGACCCUCUUGGUUAUAUUUUGCCUUAUACCACCCGGGCUAAAAUCCUUGUUCAAGCUCUGUGGAUAAACGAAAGGGGCUGGGAUGACUGCAUUGAAAAAAGGAUGCUUGACAAAUGGCAAGAGUGGACCAAUGAACUGCAGUAUCUUCCCAUGAUAGGGAUGCCAAGGUGCUAUUUCCCAGUCUGUCCAGAAUCUGACAAUGACAAGAUUGAAUUGCAUGUAUUUUGCGAUGCCUCUGAGAGGGCUUAUGGUUCAGUGGCAUAUCUGCGCCUACAAGACAAAGAGGGAAAUAUUCAUACCUCAUUUGUUAUGGCUAGAUCCCGUGUUGCACCCAAAAAGCAACUAUCAAUGCCCCGACUGGAACUGUGUGGUGCCCUUACCGGUGCACAAUUGGCUAAACUCCUCUUAACUGAAAUUAGCCUACCUAUCCAUAACAUUGUUCUCUGGACAGACUCCACUACAGUUCUCACUUGGAUCAAAUCUGAAUCCUGUCAUUACAAGGUGUUUGUUGGCACACGGAUUGCCGAAAUACAGGAGUUGACCAGUUCAGAGAACUGGAGAUAUGUGGAGUCAGAGCUAAACCCUGCUGAUGAUAUUACAAGAGGGGAAUCUCUCUAUGAACUCUCUCAUGAAUGUCAAUGGAAUCAGGGCCCUUACUUCCUCCAACAGUCACCAGAAAACUGGCCCAAGCCGCCUACCUUAUCCUCAACUGAUGAGAACGAGCUAAGAAACUCAUUCUUCUGUGCUCAUGUUGCUGUUCUGCACCCUUCCCUACCAGAUCAAAAGCAGUACCCAACAUGGUCAGACUUGGUUCAAGCUACCUACCAGUCUGUACAUGGAGCUUUAGCACCCUCAAUGUCAGCUUCACAACGCAUUGAUACUGAACUGCUUCUUCUCAGACAAGCUCAGCAGGAUAGUUUCCCUGAUGAAGUCUGUGCACUUCAAGAUGGCAAGGUCAUACGUGCUAGCAGUAGGUUAUGUACUUUGUCACCUGAAUAUGAUCAAACCUUGGGAGUAAUUCGGGUAGGAGGUCGCCUUCGCAAAGCUGAGAAACUUGAAGUUGAUACUUUGCAUCCUAUUGUAUUGGCACCUGAUUAUCCCAUCACUAAACUCAUAAUACAAGACUAUGACAACAGACUUCUUCAUCCCGGUCCUGAGCGUGUCUUCGCAGAGUUGCGAAGAACUUACUGGAUUAUCCAAGGUAGACAAGCCGUAAAGAAACAUCAACACAAGUGCAUAGAAUGCACAAAAUGGCGCCGUAGUCCAGUCAACCCUAAAAUGGCUGAUCUUCCCGCUGCUCGUCUUCGCUUAUACCAGCCUCCUUUCUGGUCAGCUGGUGUCGAUUGCUUCGGAAGCGUGUCUUCGCAGAGUUAG